rnacentral:rRNA from 1 species
GACGAACGCUGGCGGCGUGCUUAACACAUGCAAGUCGAACGGAAAGGCCCUGCUUUUGUGGGGUGCUCGAGUGGCGAACGGGUGAGUAACACGUGAGUAACCUGCCCUUGACUUUGGGAUAACUUCAGGAAACUGGGGCUAAUACCGGAUAGGAGCUCCUGCUGCAUGGUGGGGGUUGGAAAGUUUCGGCGGUUGGGGAUGGACUCGCGGCUUAUCAGCUUGUUGGUGGGGUAGUGGCUUACCAAGGCUUUGACGGGUAGCCGGCCUGAGAGGGUGAACGGCCACAUUGGGACUGAGAUACGGCCCAGACUCCUACGGGAGGCAGCAGUGGGGAAUAUUGCACAAUGGGCGGAAGCCUGAUGCAGCAACGCCGCGUGCGGGAUGACGGCCUUCGGGGUGUAAACCGCUUUCGCCUGUGACGAAGCGUGAGUGACGGUAAUGGGUAAAGAAGCACCGGCUAACUACGUG